UUUGUAGCCAUCUUUGCUGUGCCACUUAUCCUGGUCCUUGUCCCCAUAGGACAAGAAUAUGAGGAUGAAGAAAGACUGGGAGAGGAUGAAUAUUAUCAGGUGGUCUAUUAUUAUACAGUCACCCCCAGUUAUGAUGACUUUAGUGCAGAUUUCACCAUUGAUUACUCCAUAUUUGAGUCAGAGGACAGGCUGAACAGGUUGGAUAAGGACAUAACAGAAGCAAUAGAGACUACCAUUAGUCUUGAAACAGCACGUGCAGACCAUCCGAAGCCUGUAACUGUGAAACCAGUAACAACGGAACCUAGUCCAGAUCUGAACGAUGCCGUGUCCAGUUUGCGAAGUCCUAUUCCCCUCCUCCUGUCGUGUGCCUUUGUUCAGGUGGGGAUGUAUUUCAUGUAGAAGGUGGAAGAAGGCUGCUAUGACUCUUUGGAUGGGAGUCUGGCAAGAGGAAAUUGGAAGAUAAAAU
rnacentral:lncRNA from 1 species